UAAAAGAAAAUAAAAUAAUCGCUCCUGUGUAGAAUUACGCUAAACAAAGCGAUGCACCGUAAUAACGGAGUUUUGUAGUUGGCAAUUAGCGGGUGUUCAAAUAUGAAUUUUCCUUGCUCGAGGACCAACUGUACCGGGCC
ensembl:ncRNA F28C1.12 ncRNA